GACGAACGCUGGCGGCGUGCUUAACACAUGCAAGUCGAGCGGUAAGGCCCUUUCGGGGGUACGACGAGCGGCGAACGGGUGAGUAACACGUGGGUGACCUGCCCUCAGCUCUGGGAUAAGCCUGGGAAACCGGGGUCUAAUACCGGAUAUGACUCCAUGACGCAUGUUGUGGGGUGGAAAGCCUUGUGCGGCUGAGGAUGGGCCCGCGGCCUAUCAGCUUGUUGGUGGGGUGAUGGCCUACCAAGGCGACGACGGGUAGCCGGCCUGAGAGGGCGACCGGCCACACUGGGACUGAGACACGGCCCAGACUCCUACGGGAGGGCAGCAGUGGGGAAUCUUGCGCAAUGGGCGAAAGCCUGACGCAGCGACGCCGCGUGAGGGAUGACGGCCUGGUGUAA
rnacentral:rRNA from 1 species